rnacentral:rRNA from 1 species
GACGAACGCUGGCGGCGUGCUUAACACAUGCAAGUCGAACGGAAAGGCCCUGCUUUUGUGGGGUGCUCGAGUGGCGAACGGGUGAGUAACAAGUGAGUAACCUGCCCUUGACUUUGGGAUAACUUCAGGAAACUGGGGCUAAUACCGGAUAGGAGCUCCUGCUGCAUGGUGGGGGUUGGAAAGUUUCGGCGGUUGGGGAUGGACGCGCGGCUUAUCAGCUUGUUGGUGGGGUAGUGGCUUACCAAGGCUUUGACGGGUAGCCGGCCUGAGAGGGUGACCGGCCACAUUGGGACUGAGAUACGGCCCAGACUCCUACGGGAGGCAGCAGUGGGGAAUAUUGCACAAUGGGCGGAAGCCUGAUGCAGCAACGCCGCGUGCGGGAUGACGGCCUUCGGGUUGUAAACCGCUUUCGCCUGUGACGAAGCGUGAGUGACGGUAAUGGGUAAAGAAGCACCGGCUAACUACGUG